rnacentral:rRNA from 1 species
GAUGAACGCUGGCGGCGUGCCUAAUACAUGCAAGUCGAGCGAACAGACGAGGAGCUUGCUCCUUUGACGUUAGCGGCGGACGGGUGAGUAACACGUGGGUAACCUACCUAUAAGACUGGGAUAACUUCGGGAAACCGGAGCUAAUACCGGAUAAUAUUUCGAACCGCAUGGUUCGAUAGUGAAAGAUGGCUUUGCUAUCACUUAUAGAUGGACCUGCGCCGUAUUAGCUAGUUGGUAAGGUAACGGCUUACCAAGGCAACGAUACGUAGCCGACCUGAGAGGGUGAUCGGCCACACUGGAACUGAGACACGGUCCAGACUCCUACGGGAGGCAGCAGUAGGGAAUCUUCCGCAAUGGGCGAAAGCCUGACGGAGCAACGCCGCGUGAGUGAUGAAGGUCUUCGGAUCGUAAAACUCUGUUAUUAGGGAAGAACAAACGUGUAAGUAACUGUGCACGUCUUGACGGUACCUAAUCAGAAAGCCGCGGCUAACUACGUG